rnacentral:rRNA from 1 species
GACGUAGGAGGCGAGCGUUGUCCGGAUUCAUUGGGCGUAAAGAGCACGCAGGCGGUUUGGCAAGUCGGAUGUGAAAACCCGGAGCUCAACUCCGGACCUGCAUCCGAAACUGCCCGACUAGAGGUAGGUAGGGGAGAUCGGAAUUCCUGGUGUAGCGGUGAAAUGCGCAGAUAUCGGGAGGAACACCGGUGGCGAAGGCGGUUCUCUGGGCCUGUACUGACGCUGAGGAGCGAAAGCGUGGGGAGCGAACAGG